rnacentral:rRNA from 1 species
GACAGAGGUGCCGAGCGUUAGGCGGAAUCACUGGGCUUAAAGCGUGUGUAGGCGGGCGAUCAAGUACCUUGUGAAAUCCCACGGCUCAACCGUGGAACCGCUGGGUAUACUGGUUGUCUUGAGCCGGCUAGGGGCGAGCGGAACAGACGGUGGAGCGGUGAAAUGCGUAGAUAUCGUCUGGAAUGCCGAAGGUGAAAACAGCUCGCUGGGGCCGCGCUGACGCUGAGACACGAAAGCCAGGGGGGCGAACGGG